GAGUAAUGUCUGGGAAACUGCCUGAUGGAGGGGGAUAACUACUGGAAACGGUGGCUAAUACCGCAUAACGUCGCAAGACCAAAGAGGGGGACCUUCGGGCCUCUUGCCAUCAGAUGUGCCCAGAUGGGAUUAGCUUGUUGGUGAGGUAACGGCUCACCAAGGCGACGAUCCCUAGCUGGUCUGAGAGGAUGACCAGCCACACUGGAACUGAGACACGGUCCAGACUCCUACGGGAGGCAGCAGUGGGGAAUAUUGCACAAUGGGCGCAAGCCUGAUGCAGCCAUGCCGCGUGUAUGAAGAAGGCCUUCGGGUUGUAAAGUACUUUCAGCGGGGAGGAAGGUGUUGUGGUUAAUAACCGCAGCAAUUGACGUUACCCGCAGAAGAAGCACCGGCUAACUCCGUGCCAGCAGCCGCGGUAAUACGGAGGGUGCAAGCGUUAAUCGGAAUUACUGGGCGUAAAGCGCACGCAGGCGGUCUGUCAAGUCGGAUGUGAAAUCCCCGGGCUCAACCUGGGAACUGCAUUCGAAACUGGCAG
rnacentral:rRNA from 1 species